GCCAGUGUGGCACAGUGGUUUAAGCGCUGGACUAGGACUCUAGUGGCCAGGGAACAAAUCCUCACUCAGGCA